rnacentral:rRNA from 1 species
CGGACGGGUGAGUAAUGCUUAGGAAUCUGCCUAUUAGUGGGGGACAACAUCUCGAAAGGGAUGCUAAUACCGCAUACGUCCUACGGGAGAAAGCAGGGGAUCUUCGGACCUUGCGCUAAUAGAUGAGCCUAAGUCGGAUUAGCUAGUUGGUGGGGUAAAGGCCUACCAAGGCGACGAUCUGUAGCGGGUCUGAGAGGAUGAUCCGCCACACUGGGACUGAGACACGGCCCAGACUCCUACGGGAGGCAGCAGUGGGGAAUAUUGGACAAUGGGGGGAACCCUGAUCCAGCCAUGCCGCGUGUGUGAAGAAGGCCUUUUGGUUGUAAAGCACUUUAAGCGAGGAGGAGGCUACUUAGAUUAAUACUCUAGGAUAGUGGACGUUACUCGCAGAAUAAGCACCGGCUAACUCUGUGCCAGCAGCCGCGGUAAUACAGAGGGUGCAAGCGUUAAUCGGAUUUACUGGGCGUAAAGCGCGCGUAGGUGGCCAAUUAAGUCAAAUGUGAAAUCCCCGAGCUUAACUUGGGAAUUGCAUUCGAUACUGGUUGGCUAGAGUAUGGGAGAGGAUGGUAGAAUUCCAGGUGUAGCGGUGAAAUGCGUAGAGAUCUGGAGGAAUACCGAUGGCGAAGGCAGCCAUCUGGC